rnacentral:rRNA from 1 species
CCCAGACUCCUACGGGAGGCAGCAGUGGGGAAUAUUGCACAAUGGGCGAAAGCCUGAUGCAGCAACGCCGCGUGAAGGAAGAAGGGUUUCGGCUCGUAAACUUCUAUCAACAGGGACGAAAGAAAUGACGGUACCUGAAUAAGAAGCCCCGGCUAACUACGUGCCAGCAGCCGCGGUAAUACGUAGGGGGCAAGCGUUAUCCGGAAUUACUGGGUGUAAAGGGUGAGUAGGCGGACGCUUAAGUCAGCGGUAAAAUGGGGGGGCUCAACCUCGUCGAGCCGUUGAAACUGGGUGCCUUGAGUGGGCGAGAAGUACGCGGAAUGCGUGGUGUAGCGGUGAAAUGCAUAGAUAUCGCGCAGAACUCCGAUUGCGAAGGCAGCAUGCCGGCUCCACACUGACGCUGAGGCACGAAAGCGUGGGUAUCGAACAGGAUUAGAUACCCCAGUA